AAAGAAGAUGUUGUCAUGGCCAAAAGAGAAAUCCUCUCAGCUGUAGAGCACUUCUCUGUGAUUCCUGCAUCUCUAAACAAAAAUGGCCCUGCACUGGGAGGGUUAUAGUGUAGUCAUAAUCUUCCUGGUCAGACCACAGGGUUCAGGGUUCCCUAUCAUGUGCUAGGCCUAGUGAUUGGACCAAAAGGAGCAACAUUAAGAGAAUUCAGACCCACACAUAUACAGUUACUCCAAGCAGAGAUAUGGAGCCAGUUUUUGAAGUCAUGGGGAUACCUAAAAUGUUGACUGAGCAUGAGGAGAAGAAAUAGAAAUGUAUACAGCGAUGUGUACAGGGAACUACAUAGAGCUCAAUAAAGAACAUUAUUUCCAUUAUAACAGUACUGAUGUGAGCUUUGAAAGUGGCGCUCUUGGCUCUACAUGGCUCUCCUCCAAUCGAGUUUCUCCAAGCCAAGCAAGAAUGAUGUCCAACUGUUGAAAUGAUAGUUUUAGUUCUCUAGGAAGUGGUUCCAUUGAUUCCUAUUUUGGAAGCAAUAAGCUAGCAGCUGACUUUAGUCCAACAAGCCCAUUUAGCACAGGAAACUUUUGGUUUGGAGCCUACACUACCAUUUGUAGGCUCAGAAGAUCUUGCAGCAGACUCUCCUGCCUUUGACUCUUUACUAACACCUGCUCAAACUAGCUGGACUCCAUUUGAGCUAGCUAACUCAUUCUCUGGCUUUGGCAGUGAUCCAUCUGGUAACAUGAAUACUCAGUACAGAGGAAGUCACCCUCUACUCUUCGUCUGUCUCCUACAUUUCCUGAAAGCAUAGAACACCCACUUGCUCAAUGGGUUAGGAGUGACCCAACUAGGACAAGCAACCAUGUUGGCCUUCCAAUAUACAUCCCUGAUUUUUCUAAUGGUACUAAUAGUUACCAUUCCAAUGGUGGUUCCACCUCUAGCUCACCUCCAGAAUCUAGAAGAAAACACAACUGUAUGAUUCGCUGUGAAAAGGAAGAUAUUGCUGCCCUAGUUCCAUGUGACCACAACCUCUUCUGCAUGGAAUGUGCCAACAAGAUCUGUGAAAAGAGAAUGCCAUCAUGUCCAGCUUGCCCCACAGUUAUUACUCAGGCAAUCCAAAUUCAUUCUUAAAUACAUAUACUAUAUCUCUACAUGGAAUCAUAAAGACAUGGAUAUAAUGGUACCCCCAGUAAACUUCCUAAUGAAUACUUAUGACUGUUAUCAGGCUUUAUUGGGAUUAGGCUAAAGUUGUUCAGUACACUUAUAAAAGGAUGCUAUGGUAACAUUAUACUAAAGUAGUCUCUCGUCUGUUAGUUUUGUUUGAAUUAUUAAUACUAUAUUAUAGACUCAGAGACAUAGCUUGUUAAAGCUGAGGUUGUACUUGGCUGUGUAACCUAUGAGCAAAAUGUAUCCAUCUGAGAUUGUAGUCAGUGGGUCCCAAAGCCUAGCCGCAUUAAGAGUUUAUGGAGUGUGCCUUGUAUCACAGAUGAUUGAUACUUCCAGUGCUUCCUUCUUCAUACUGUCAAUUUUGACAAAAACAAGUUUGUUUUUUAUUUUACAUCAACUUCUACCUAAUUCUGCAGGAUUGAAAGUAAUUUUUAAAGCUUUGUGAUUGCUUAUUAGUAAUAAUAGGACCAAUGGCAGUUUACUAGAUCACUGGUUGUAAUUUGGGACAAAAACUGCUACAAUGAUUUUCAUCUCACCCAGAGUGUUUAAGGCUGAUAUGUUCAGUGGAUCAGGAAUACAAUUGUCUUUGAUUGUGAAUUCCUACCCAUUGCAUCUCUCAGUGAAUGUGGAAAUGGCCACCUGGGUUUUUCCAUUUCAGGAUGGACUUUGGAAGCACCUGUAUUGGCUGAAAAUUUGAGAAUGCAACCAUUCCAUUCAUUAGUCUGAUAGAGCUAUUAAUUAAUAUUUAGACUCUAACUCAAAAUGUGAAACAGUUUUGUUCAAUUCAUAUUUAUCUUGCACAUUAUAAAUGUAUAUUUUGAUUUUUUAGUAAUGUAUGGGAUAAGGAGGGUGAUAAUAAUGCCCUUGGCAUGAUUCAUGAAAGUAGCUGUGACAACCUCCAAUCACUUUACCUCAUUUCAAACCUAUUUCCAAUCACAAGCAAAGAUUUCUUUAAGAUACAUUUGUACAUUUCACCUGUGGAUGUUUUAAUGUCAUCCUCAGUAUGUCCCCAAAUUUGCUGGUAUU